AUUGAACGCUAGCGGCAGGCCUAACACAUGCAAGUCGAACGAGUGGCGGACGGGUGAGUAAUGUCUGGGAACCUGCCCGAUGGAGGGGGAUAACUACUGGAAACGGUAGCUAAUACCGCCUACCAUCGGAUGUGCGCAGAUGGGAUUAGCUAGGAGGUGGGGUAACGGAACACCUAGGCGACGAUCCCUAGAUGGGCGGAGAGGAGGACCAGCGACACUGGAACGGAGACACGUCCCAGACUCCUACGUGAGGCAGCAGUGGGGAAUAUUGCACUAUGGGCUCAAGCCUGAUGCAGCCAUGCCGCGUGUAUGAAGAGGUCCUGCGGGUUGUAAAGUACUUUCAGCUAGGAGGCGGUACUCGCAGAAGAAGCACCGGCUAACUCCGUGCCAGCAGCCGCGGUAAUUC
rnacentral:rRNA from 1 species